UACGAAGGGGGCUAGCGUUGCUCGGAAUCACUGGGCGUAAAGGGUGCGUAGGCGGGUCUUUAAGUCGGUGGUGAAAUCCUGGAGCUCAACUCCAGAACUGCCUUCGAUACUGGAAGACUUGAGUCCGGGAGAGGUGAGUGGAACUGCGAGUGUAGAGGUGAAAUUCGUAGAUAUUCGCAAGAACACCAGUGGCGAAGGCGGCUCACUGGCCCGGUACUGACGCUGAGGUGCGAAAGCGUGGGGAGCAAACAGG
rnacentral:rRNA from 1 species